CCGGCUCCAGGCAGCCCUUUCCUCCUUGGCCUCUGCCAAGGCUGCUGUGUCCUGCGGAGCUCCGAGCACGUGUAGUGCCCGGCUGCCAAUUUGAGGAGAUGCCUGCCCUGGAUGACUUGGAAGUAGGGUGGUCUUCGCCCCCCUGAGAAGUAGUGCAGGUGUGCUUAUCAGGAGAAUGAGAAGGCUGCCUCCAUCAGGACUUCGGGUUUCUGACAACACCGUGUUUUGAGUAAUGUGUGCGAGACUUCUCAAAUUGUGUUGAGGAUGGAACCCAGGGCCUGCCAGCUGUGCUACAUCUUCAGCCCGAGAACUUCUGUCAAAAAAUGUUUGACUCAAACAUUAAAAAAGCAGUGGCGCAUGCCUUUACUCCUAGCACUGAGGAGGCGGAGGCAGUCUGCUCUCAAACUUGGCUCAAUUGGGGUUGCAGGCAUUAGCUAACCUAAUAUUUUAAUAUAUUUUGUCCUUCAUAGAUAUAGCCUUUUCCUAUUAAAAAGGUCCUUAUUGCUAGCCUAGAUCCUGAGCCUUCUCUCCCCGCUCCCAGGCCAGGUUUCAGGGGACAGUCCUCCAGUUUCCCAUCUUUGUACCCCCAAACUACUAUGACAUACUUGAUGAAUACAGGCUCACAAGUCUGUCUUUGUGAUGUCUCUUCACACCUGUCUUUCAUUUCACUGCAGAGCGUCAAUAAACAAAAAGUGUUUCACUUGUA